GGAUAAACGCUGAAGGCAUCUAAGCGUGAAGCCCCCCUCAAGAUGAGAUAUCCCAUACGCAAGUAGUAAGACCCCUUGAAGACGACGAGGUAGAUAGGGCAGAGGUGGAAGUGUGGCAACACAUGGAGCUGACUGUUACUAAUAGGUCGAGGGCAUAACCAAG
rnacentral:rRNA from 1 species